UACGGAGGGUGCAAGCGUUAAUCGGAAUUACUGGGCGUAAAGCGCGCGUAGGCGGCUUUUCAAGUCGAUUGUGAAAUCCCCGGGCUUAACCUGGGAACUGCAGUCGAGACUGUCUAGCUAGAGUAUGGGAGAGGGAAGUGGAAUUUCAGGUGUAGCGGUGAAAUGCGUAGAUAUCUGGAGGAACACCGGUGGCGAAGGCGGCAUCCUGGACCGGUAUUGACGCUGAGGCGCGAAAGCCAGGGGAGCAAACGGG
rnacentral:rRNA from 1 species